AGGCACUUGGAGGGGACUUAACUGAUGGGAAUUGGGGUGGGAUGGCUUGCUGUUCCAGACAAGAACUGAAGUGACUCAUAAACAUGAACUUUUCCGUACAAUCUCAAAUCCCUCUCCUCCUCUUCCUCUAUAUAACAAGAACCCUGUUGGAUUUGAAGCUUUGAGACCUCGAAAACCCUACUAAAGGUACUCCUUAUGAUGCCAGCAUGGAAAUUGGACUUCCAACGUCAGAUAAGAUGGACUUGAACAUAGAUCAGGACUGUUGUAGUUUAAAUUCUGCACUGGUAAAUGCACCUCAACUCAGUGCUUCAUCAAAAGAUGAUGCUUAUAGGGGUGGGUUACUAAAAAUUGGUACAGAGUUUGAAUCUGACGAACAUGCUUACAGAAUUUACAACAAGUAUGCCAAAGUGGUAGGCUUCAGUGUUCGAAAAGAUUGGUUAAAUAGGAGUAAGGUGCAUGGUCUAGUGGUCUCUAGAAAGUUUACUUGCUCUAAGGAAGGUUAUCGGCGGAAAGACAAGAGAGACCUUAAUGUGAAGAAACGUCAGAAAGAAACAAGAACUGGUUGCUUGGCUCACAUGAUUGUCACUCGCCAGCCUGAUGGUAAAUACAGAGUGACACAUUUUGAAGCAGAGCAUAAUCAUGAUAGUAUAGAACCAAAUAAUGCUGACACACAGCUAUUACAGAGGGAGUUAUUUGUUGAUCAAGCUGCCAAAGCUGACUUGUCUAGAAACUCAGGGACAGAAUCAAGCUCAACCUAUGGACUGAUGAAUAGAUGAAUUGAAGUUUGUCAAUCUCUUGAUUAUCUGGCCAUGGAUUUUGAAAAUUCCCCACGGUCUGAAAGGAUUAGAGAUAUGAAGGAGGGGGAAGCAGGACGUUUGUUGUGUUAUUUUCAUAGGCAACACAUUGAAAAUCCAUCAUUUAUUCAUGGCAUUCAGGUUGAUAUUGAUGACAAAGUAAGUAACAUAUUCUGGGCUGACGAUAGAAUGGUAGUGGAUUAUGACCAUUUUGGUGAUGUGGUUUGUUUGGACACUAUUUACCGAACAAAUAAAGAUCUUCAGCCAUUUGUACAGUUCAUGGGAGUGAACCAUCACAAUCAAGCAAUAAUAUUUGCUGCUGCACUUUUAUUCGAUGACACUGUUGAAUCGCUCAUGUGGCUGUUUAAUACAUUUCUAGAGGCAAUGUCUGGAAAGAAGCCAAAAGUCAUUCUUACAGAUCAAGAUGCAGCAAUAGCAGAAGCAGUCAAUUCAAUUUUACCAGAAACAAGCCAUCGUAUCUGUGUUUGGCAGAUGUACCAGAAUGUUCUUAAGCAUCUUAGCCAUUUAGUGAAGGAUAUUGAAUCCUUUUCUUGUGACUUUCAAAGUUGUAUUUAUGACUCCAAUUAUGAGGAGGCUUUCGUUCAUGCUUGGGAGGGUCUGCUGGACAAAUAUGGCCUUCAACAAAAUGAGUGGCUAAGAUGGAUGUUUAGAGAAAGAGAGAAGUGGUCCAUAGUAUAUGGCAGUAACACAUUUUUCUUGACAUGAAAGGCUCGCAUGUGGUUGAAGAUUUAUCUAAGAACUUGAGAAGUUAUCUAAACUCUGACCAAGAUGCGCUUCAGAUUUUCAAGAUUUUUGAAAGGGUGGUAAAUGAGCAACGUGUCAAAGAAAUACAUGCUAAUGAUGAAAUGACUAGAUGCAUGCCAAGGUUACUAGGUAAUGUAGUUUUGCUAAAGCAUGCAAGUGCUAUUUAUACGCCAAAGGCAUUUGAAAUAUUUCAGAAGGAAUAUGAGAAGUGUUUAAAUGUCGUAGUCAGCCAGUGCAAUGAGAAUGGAUUUUUGCUUGAAUACAAAGUCAAUACAUUUGGACGGACUCAAGAAUAUACAGUCACAAUCAAUUCAACAGAUGACACAGUAGUUUGCAAUUGCAUGAAAUUUGAGAAUGUCGGAUUUUUAUGUGGCCAUACUUUGAAAGUUCUUGAUAAUCGGAACAUAAAGAUGGUCCCGUCCUGAUAUAUCUUGAAGAGAUUGACAAAAGAUGCAAGGCUUGGAAGAGCAAGAAAUAGCAAUGAUUUCGCUGCUCAAGAAAACCCAAAGUUGGUUGUAGCUAACCGUUACAAAGAUUUGUGCCGCAACAUAUUGAAAAUGUCAGCCAGGGCAGCUGAAUCAGAGGAUGCAUUUCAGUUUUCCUUAAGAAAACUAGAUGAGUUAAUUGAAGGGGUGGAGAAGGUCUUGAUGUUGAAACCUGAUGAGGGUCAAGGCAUCAAUUCAAGUAGCACCAUAGUGAAUGGUCACGAAAGUGAAAAUGCAGAGUUUUUCUUGAAUGAGAAGGCAAUCGAGGAUCAAGGAGAAGACAACAGAGUGGACGGAUCAAAAGAAAGGGAGAGAUGUUCCUGAUAGACAUCAACUGAAAAAUGUGGUUGGAAAAGGCUGUCAGAAAAAAAGAUUUCAGCUUGCACAACCACCCUCCCCUAAUUUUAUUAACGGCAUUUCAAGUCCUCCACAAGCAUGUGUUACUACUGAAGGCCCAACUCACAAUCCUCUUCUGCAGGGUGCGUAUAAUUUUGAGGCCAAUCAGGUGGUUCAGUGCAUGUACCCGCUGCAGAAUCCUGUAGUUAUGGACCAUCAAGAUAAUCCUAACAUGUACCGACAAUCAAAUUUUUAUGCUGACUAGCAAGACCCACCUAGUCAAACUCCAUUACUCCAGGUAAUAUUUAUAAACUUUUAAAUUCUCCAUAUACAUCGAAUUGAUACCAUUUUAUUUAUCAGGCACUCUGGUGCAGGAAUCUUUAAUCCUUCACUAACAAUGCUCAAUUGAGGCAGGUAAUUAUUGCUUUUUAGAGUAAUAGAUGGUUAGGUGGGACUUCUCAGAAAAUUAUGUUUCCAAUAUUAUAUAAGAUUUCAAGUUCACCAACAACAGCAAUUUAAAAAAUAAGAUCAUGGGUAAAUGGUAAUUGAGAGUAGAAUAUCAAAUGGAGCCGAACUCUAAGAAUUUUUUAAAUUGAGCAGGAAAUGUCUUCACAUCAGGUUCUUCAAGAGGUAAAGCUUUAUCAUACUAAACCAGAUUUGAAGGUAUGGACUCUUUGCCAAGAUGAAAAAUUUACAAUGAAAUCUUGUACCAUUUUUAUUCAUAGCAUAGAGUGUAGUGGAUCAUGCUCCUUUCAGAUACAAGUUUGGAAGUCUGUGGCUCCUCCAAACAUUCAAACUUUUAUUUGGUUGGUCAUUCAACAUAAACUGUGUAUAAGAUCUUUCUUAUAUUGUUGACAUCUUUCAUUCUUGGAUCAGUCAUUUUGUCCAUUCUAUUUAAUGGUUAUAAAAAGCUGAAAUCAUAUAUUGAUUCACUGUCAAUUUAUAUGGAAUUUAUGAACCAAUUUUUUUUCGUGGUGAGGGAUCUAUUAGAGUGUUCCACACAUACUUGAUAAGCUGCUACAUCAAUGACCAAUGAUGAUUAGAGUGUUCCACGUGAGGGAUCUAUUAGAGUGUUCCACACAUACUUGAUAAGCUGCUACAUCAAUGACCAAUGAUGAUUAGAGUGUUCCACGUGAGGGAUCUAUUAGAGUGUUCCACACAUACUUGAUAAGCUGCUACAUCAAUGACCAAUGAUGAUUAAAGGCAAGUUUCAAAGGACGGCAUUGGAACUACUCUCUUUUGGUAUUCCUUGGAGCAUAUGGUUAAUCAGAAAUAAUUUGGUUUUCAAUGAUGUUAGCCUAGAUUUGGACUUCUGCUUUUCCCUGACACUCCAUCGAUUAUCUACUUAGUUAAGAAAUUGUGAAUCUCAUUUUUCUUACAUAUGUAAUGAUCUUUAUAUUAGUAUUGACUAUAUUCGAAACUUGACAAGCAUCAAAAGACAACGCUAAAUGUUUGUACGGUACUAUGUUGCAGGACCUUUUUUGUUUCUUUUUCUCUUC